rnacentral:lncRNA from 10 species
CCCAUUCUCUGAAAACCUUCGCUGGCUAUAGGGAUAAUCAGGCUGACAGGAAAACUUUUAAAUUCAUUUAUUUGAAUUUUAGAGAAAACUAGAAGACAGAAAACCACAACUGUGGGAUUGAAGUCAACAGAAAAGGCCUGACAAGACAGUAUUAGAAUGAGUGGCCUGCCUGGCUGGGCACAAUGGCUCACACCUAUAAUCCCAGCACUUUGGGAGGCUGAGGUGGGCAGAUUACCUGAGUUUGGGAGUUUGAGACCAGCUUGACCAACAUGAAGAAACCCCGUCUCUACUAAAAAUGCAAAAAUUAGCCAGGCGUGGUGGUGCAUACCUGUAAUCCCAGCUACUUGGAAGGCUGAGGCAGGAGAAUCACUUGAACCCAGGAGGCAGAGGUAGCAGUGAGCCGAGAUUAUGCCUUUGCACCCCAGCCUGGGCAACAAGAGCAAAACUCAUCUCAAAAAAAAAAAAAAAAAUGAGUGGGCUGCCCAACCCUGCCAGUGGCCUGACCUAGACCGUAUACAGAGGAGUAGAAGCUGCUGUGUUAAAGGGCUGGCAGGCACCACAGUUUGUUUCCUUUCACCCUAGUUUUCUCAUAUUUGUGUAUAGUCAUUUGUGGAGCAUUGGUGGCCCAGUAUCUC